CCUUACGGCCACACCGGCCUGAUUACGCCUGAUCUCGUCCGAUUCUCGGAAGCUAAGCAGGGUCGGGCCCUGGUUAGUACUUGGAUGGGAGACCGCCUGGGAAUACCAAGUGCUGUAAGCU
rnacentral:rRNA from 1 species